AUAUGCUAUACUAUGUCAUAAUUAAGUUGAUACCUUUAUGACCCGUCCCAAUAUGCGAAUAAAAGUGGGGCGCAUGCCCCACGAUAUUCGAAUUUGGGGCAGAAUUGUGGAAGUGCGAAGCACGAAACAAUUCGUCAGGCAUCU
rnacentral:sRNA from 1 species